UCACACUUGUGCUCCAGGCCCUGCACCAGCCCCAUUGCCCUGCUCCAGAGGCAGGUUUCCCAGGGGAACAUUCCUUGCCUGGCGCUGAACACGGUGUUACAGCAUCGCAGGGAUGUGUUUUCUGUGGGGCUGAAGGGGCUCUUCACCCCCCUCUCUGUCUUUCAGGACAUGCAGGAGAAGGAAGCCAUCACCCCUGAGCGAGCAGAAGAGGUCAAACUCAAGGCCAAAUACCCCAACCUGGGCCAGAAGCCCGGAGGCUCCGACUUCCUCAUGAAGAGACUGCAGAAAGGGCAAAAAUACUUUGAUUCCGGUGACUACAACAUGGCCAAGGCAAAGAUGAAGAACAAGCAGCUGCCGAGUGCGGGGCCAGACAAGAACCUGGUGACAGGAGACCACAUUCCCACCCCGCAGGACCUCCCGCAGCGCAAGUCCUCGCUUGUGACCAGCAAGCUGGCCGGGUAACCCGCGCUCACAGCCCGGCCUUCCCCCUUCUCCUCCUCCUUUUGCCUAAAUGGAUUGAACUUCACUGUACCAUAGCGACAGGAGCACCAGAAUCCCCGUAGUUCCUUGAGCAGCCCAGCAAACACAGCCCAGCCCCCAGAAGACACGUAAGAGGCGUCAGCAGGACACACGGGCAGGUUCAGCUGCUCCUUUAGCAAAACCACUCGGUUCCCACCUUCGUUUUCCUGCUGUUUGGAAGCUUGCCGAGCCUCCGGAGCGCUGCCUCCUCACAGCAGGAAGGGGCUCGGAGUCGUUGCUGUUGCUUGGUGCUGGGUAGGAGGGGAGUGCUCGGAGCCGAGCUGUGUGAGCGCUGGGCAGAAGGUGCGGGAUGUGGGCUGGAGCUUCGGAGCGAAGGAACAAGCUGAUGUGCAAAGAGCUCCGUGGCUGCAGCGCUGGGCUGAGCUCGCAGGAGGGGACCUCACGUCCCACAGCCCUGCGGCUGCGUUGGGAAAGGUUCUGGGGGCUUGAAGCUGCUCUGGGUUUCAAGCACAGCUCCAUCGGAGCAGGGGGCGCGUGGGGCUCGCUGCUGCAGGGCUUCAGGCAGCUUCUCUCCAUGGGCUGCUGGAGGUGCUGAGCUGGGUCCCACCAGCAGCGAGGUGCUGGACACCGCAGAGAGCGGCCAAGCAGCGGAGCCCCGGCCUCAUGCCCACGGGUUGGCACUUGCAAAGCAGCCGGUGAGGUGGGUGGGAGCUCCUGGAGCUGAUCUCCGGAGCAGGGAAUAACCACCCUGCAAGGGGAAGAUGCGCCGGAGCCACCGAGCAUGGAGGUAGGAAGGGAGAGAGCAGUGUCGGGUGCCCCACGCUUGGAUUUCUUCCUUUUUUCUCCCUUUCCUUUCCCUUCUUUGCCUUUUCUUUGCUCUAGGCCUGGACAAAACCAACCAAACCCCAAGCAAACAGCGAGGUGGGUGCGAUGCUGCAGCCUGUGCACGUCCUGCCUGCUCCUCAGGCACUGGCUGGAGGUGCAGCACCUCCUGCCCUGUGCACUGCACGGGCUCAGCACCCCCGUGCCUGCUUUUGGAGGCGUUUAGGAGGAAGUCGAGUGGACUUUUUGCUUUCGUUGUGUGGGGAUGACGAGGGGGGAUCCCAGGGCUGGGAGGCAGCGGGUGCUGCUCUGCACGGGCACAGCGUGUUCCUGCCCGGCUGCCUCGGGGAACCCGUCUGACGGGUGUCAGCUCCCUGCUGCCGUGUCCCCAGGAGCGGGGCGCUGCUUCCUGGCAGGGUGUUUGCCAAGGGUGUGCUCGGAGCAAACCCGCUGCAGCUCCUCCCCUCGGGCACCCCGAGCUGGGGGCUCCCUUCCCCACAUCUCCCACGUUGUGGAGCAGGCAAAGGGGCACUGGGGGUGCCCCCUGGUCACCCCGGGGCUGGGCUUUGGUCUCCAGUCCCUUUGCACGCCCUGGGUGAGCUGGCACUGCCUGCAGCCUCCUCGGAUGUCCCGUGUGUCCCAGCCAUGCUGUAAAUAGAUAUGAAUCAUAUAUAUAUAUAUAAAAAUAUAUCUAAUUUUUUACAUGUU
ensembl:lncRNA